UUCAUUGCAAUUAUGACUGCACAAAAGAUGCAAAUAUUCUAAAUUCAUUUGUGAGCUGGGUAGCUUCAAAAGUCUAAUCUGGACUCCAUUUAAAAUGUUAUUUUUGCUGGAUGAGAGAAAAAGCAGCUUCACUGGAAAACAUUCUGUACUAACUUCUGCUCAGCUGCUGGCUUCAGAGGAGUAAAAUAUCAUGAAGUGGAGGACAGAAAGGACAAACUCAGGUAUUAGGCAGGGCACACCUAAACCUACAGAACCACAGGGCUGACUGAAAAAUAAACUGGCACACACUUCCAUGCCAGCAAGCACCCAUUUA